UACGAAGGGGGCUAGCGUUGUUCGGAAUCACUGGGCGUAAAGGGCGCGUAGGCGGCCUGAUAAGUCGGGGGUGAAAGCCUGUGGCUCAACCACAGAAUUGCCUUCGAUACUGUUAGGCUUGAGACCGGAAGAGGUAAGUGGAACUGCGAGUGUAGAGGUGAAAUUCGUAGAUAUUCGCAAGAACACCAGUGGCGAAGGCGGCUCACUGGCCCGAUACUGACGCUGAGGCACGAAAGCGUGGGGAGCAAACAGG
rnacentral:rRNA from 1 species